GGUCCAUGAUGUUAAGUAAAAGGUCUGAAAGCACUGUUGUCCCCCUGCCACCAAAAGCUCCCAGCAGCCCCUUUUUGCAUAAUAUUCUAGCUGUGCCAUUAUGCAUCUCAAGAGCUGCUGACAUAAUUUGGAUAUCCACUAUUCCAUGUAUCCACGAGACUACGGGUGUGUGGAUAUUAAUGGCAUCCAACAUUUUUCCUUAAGGAGGCUGUGGUGCAGGAGCUGGGCACUAUGCAGUGCGUGAUCUCAAGUUUUCAAGCUGAGACC